UACGUAGGAUCCGAGCGUUGUCCGGAUUUACUGGGUGUAAAGGGUGCGCAGGCGGACUGGUAAGUCAGUGGUGAAAUCUCGUCGCUUAACGACGAAACUGCCUUUGAUACUAUCAGUCUUGAAUCCGGUAGAGAUCUGUGGAAUUCCGGGUGUAGCAGUGAAAUGUGUAGAUAUUCGGAAGAACACCAGUGGCGAAGGCAGCAGAUUGGGCCGGUAUUGACGCUCAGGCACGAAAGCAUGGGGAUCAAACAGG
rnacentral:rRNA from 1 species